GCGGCGAGCGGCGGGCGGCCGCCCGGCCCGCGGCGCUCUGCCCAUCCCGCAGGGCAGUGGUCAUCGUCGUGGCCGGCGCGGGCAGCCGGGCGACAUGGGCGAGCCGGCGGCGGGGGACGCGGCGCGGGCGCGGCAGAUAAGGAAAUUGGGGCCCUAAGUCAGCGAGUGGCACCUUGCGCAACAUCGCACCAGUAAUGGGUGCAGUCAAGCUCUUCCAGCCCAGAAGAUACUGUCUCCGAAACCUCCGGACCAGCUGAAACAGGGAUUCCCAUUCUGAGCACGCUCUGAGAGGCAGCAGCUCUACUUUGAAAUUCUGGAUGACACUGUGUCAGCUCUUCCUGUGUCAAAAAUCAGAUGGGCCGGACCCGCAAUGUGAUUUGGAGACGACCGCUGGACUAGAGCUGUUUGUUACCAACUGGAUUCCAAGGGAUGUCAAAAGAACGCCUGGUCACCCAACUACAAGAUGGUCAGACUUCUUCAAGACCCUGAAUGAACAGUUUGAGGCUCUUCAUGUUUCUGGAGCAGGCAGACACCAUUGGGCUACACUAGCACGCAACAGGGACGAAUGGAGACGUUACUGGCGCCCGGUCUAGCAAAUCAAUGAGCAAUGGGAUGACAAGUGAUACAACUGAUCCUUUAUCGUUUAGUAAGGGUUAGCCAUUACAGAGCAAUUGCUUUUUGUAUGGAUACAGGAAGACAGUUAAAAAGACAAGCCUGUGGCUUGGGAAUUCAUUGACUCCAGAUAAUAUACAUACUGGACAUCUGCUCUCUCGACUUAAGCCUCAGUUGCCCUUACUUCCUAGAUCCCCAGAAGCAGGGUCCGGACAAGGGACCCAGGGCAAGCGGUGGGACCUGUCUCCUCACUCCCUCCUGGUUUCUUCAUCAAGUCACUAUCACACUGACCUCCUUACUGUUCUUCCAAUGUGAAAUACUAAGCCCUCAGACCUAAGAGUUUCUGCCAGGACAUAUGUUUCUGCUUCAGAUAAAGCAGCUCCCAUGACAUUUGGGCCUCUAUUUAGAUGUCAGCUCCUCAGAGAGUCUUUCCUUAGUAUCUGGCCCCUCACCACUGUUACAUCACUCCAUUUCAUUUCCUUAUAGUGUGUUCCACUGUCUGAAGCUGCCUUCUUCAUGUAUUCAUUUGUUUAUUGUCUGUCACCACACAUGGUAUAUGGAGAACAAGUCUGUUUUGUUCACCUGUAGUUUGUCAGUGCCUGGAAGAGUGCCUGGAAUUCAAGAAAUACCAAAUGAACAAAUGGAGAUUGAUUUCACAGCUGCCAGAAUCUUUCCCUUUUCUGUUUCCACUCAAGCAGCUUACUUCAUAGCCCUGUCCACUUCAUUUUUUUUCCUUUUUAGAAAUACCACGUUUAUAUCAAUAAUAUAAAUACCUACUUCAACUUUGUAUACAUGGCAGUAAUCAUGACAGGAUAUAGUACAAUUCAGUCAAGAAAACCCCAUGUGGCUGGAGUGAUAGCACAGCGGGUAGGGCGUUUGCCUUGCACGCAGCCGACCGGAGUUCGAAUCCCAGCAUCCCAUAUGGUCCCCCGAGCACCGCCAGGAGUAAUUCCUGAGUGCAUGAGCCAGGAGUGACCCCUGUGCAUCACCGGGUGUGACCCAAAAAGCAAAAAAAAAAAAAAAAAAAAAGAAAACCCCAUGCCCAAAUUUUAAAUAUUUGCUUUUUGCUGAUGCUAAUAACACUUUGUUUGUGUAUGAAGCAUUAUUAUGGCAUUAUUAAUUAAAUGAAACUCCACUAUCAUAUAAAAACCCAUUGUGAAAUAUCUAUAACUUAUAUAACAGUUUGGGUUAAAUGGCAUAAAACAUUUAAUGAAUCAGUGAAUAUCUUUGCCUCUCAAAAGUAAUGGCCAAAGCAGAAAUUAUCAUUAAAAUACACAUAAUAUUAUCCUUAGGGUCUCUUUUUCUGCUUGUGAAACCAUUCCUCAGCAGAAAGAUUUUAGAGGUAAUUCAGUAGUAUUUGCGUUAACUAUGGGAUAGUGUGAAAAAUCUACUGCUAAGUGUUUUUCUAAUUGGUUAUACUCAACUUUAAAAAAUAUUUUAAAUUAGCUUUUAAAAAUUGUAGGAGGGGUGGUGAUGAAUAACUUAGUGGAAGUAGACUUGCUUUGUAUAUAUGAAGCCUUGGUUUUGAUUCUGGCACAGAAAAAGAAAUGUUUUCUUUUAAAAUAAAAUGAUAAAAAUCAUACAGAAGAUUAUAUCCAAAUCUCUCUACUCCCUACUCAGACACGUUUGACUUUAGUCAUUAGGCUUUCUACUUGAAACACUUAUAUGUUCUACUUCAUGCUUAAAAUGCAUUCUCCAUCUACCCCACUUUCAUAAACCAACCACUAGAGGAUAUUUUUGCACUGAUGCGGUGCUCAGUACUGUGCUACAGUUUGGAAAAUAUGGAGGUAACGUAUUCAGAAUGACUCCUGUGUUGGAGAUCUGAUAGCUCAGAUAAGAUAUAAAAAUGCUAGUUGUAAAAAACAUUAAGGGUCUAUGCUAAGUACAAUUAGCCUGAAGGAGAAAGACAAAUGCUAAAGGACUUCACUGAUAAGUGAAAGUAAAGAAACAAAGCAAAUGAACAAACUAAAAAAUGAUGCAAACCUUAGGUUUUUACAGAAUGGAAACUCCUGGAGGGGAAGGUGAGGAAGGUCCAUAGAAUGGGUACAGUGGGUGAGUUGCAUAAAGGUAGUGAAUGAAGAUUAGGCUUUUAGUGGUGAGAAUAAUAUAGCAUAUAUGUGCUACUAGUGUUUGGUUCAAUUAUGUUUUUGUUUUGUUUCAUCUUGUUCUUUUUUUUUUUGUUAGGCAUUGACACGUAAAGGGUAAAAUAUAGCGGCAGGAAAUAUACUACAACCUAAUUCUUCAAUAAUAGGGAAGAGCUUUUAGGUCAAUGGAGAAAGCAUAACAAAAGAAUGAAUCUUAUUUGUGGACUUUGAGGCAACCUGAUUAAAAGUGUCUAUACGGGGAAAAAGUAUGAAAUGCCAUGAGAACAUAUCGUCAAGAUGUUGAAUACCAGACAGAAAUAUUUCGAUUUGUUUAACCAGCACACUUUGAAUUGUAUUUACUCCCAUCUUUCUCUCUAUGUCCCAAACUUGUAGAGAAAAUAAAAGACUUCUU